rnacentral:ncRNA from 1 species
CCAAAGGCUCUUUUAAGAGCCACCCACUUUCUCAUUUGAAAAGCG